rnacentral:rRNA from 1 species
GAUGAACGCUGGCGGCGUGCCUAAUACAUGCAAGUCGAGCGAACGGACGAGAAGCUUGCUUCUCUGAUGUUAGCGGCGGACGGGUGAGUCACACGUGGAUAACCUACCUAUAAGACUGGGAUAACUUCGGGAAACCGGAGCUAAUACCGGAUAAUAUUUUGAACCGCAUGGUUCAAAAGUGAAAGACGGUCUUGCUGUCACUUAUAGAUGGAUCCGCGCUGCAUUAGCUAGUUGGUAAGGUAACGGCUUACCAAGGCAACGAUGCAUAGCCGACCUGAGAGGGGGAUCGGCCACACGGGAACUGAGACACGGUCCAGACUCCUACGGGAGGCAGCAGUAGGGAAUCUUCCGCAAUGGGCGAAAGCCUGAAGGAGCAACGCCGCGUGAGUGAUGAAGGUCUUCGGAUCGUAAAACUCUGUUAUGAGGGAAGAACAUAUGUGUAAGUAACUGUGCACAUCUUGACGGUACCUAAUCAGAAAGCCACGGCUAACUACGUG